UACGUAGGGUGCGAGCGUUAAUCGGAAUUACUGGGCGUAAAGCGUGCGCAGGCGGUUCGUUAAGUUCGAUGUGAAAGCCCCGGGCUCAACCUGGGAACUGCAUUGGAAACUGGCGAGCUUGAGUAUGGCAGAGGGGGGUGGAAUUCCGCGUGUAGCAGUGAAAUGCGUAGAUAUGCGGAGGAACACCGAUGGCGAAGGCAGUCCCCUGGGCCUGCACUGACGCUCAUGCACGAAAGCGUGGGGAGCAAACAGG
rnacentral:rRNA from 1 species